CCUACGGGUGGCAGCAGUGAGGAAUAUUGGUCAAUGGGCGCGAGCCUGAACCAGCCAAGUAGCGUGAAGGAUGACUGCCCUACGGGUUGUAAACUUCUUUUAUAAAGGAAUAAAGUGAGGCACGUGUGCCUUUUUGUAUGUACUUUAUGAAUAAGGAUCGGCUAACUCCGUGCCAGCAGCCGCGGUAAUACGGAGGAUCCGAGCGUUAUCCGGAUUUAUUGGGUUUAAAGGGUGCGUAGGUGGACUGUUAAGUCAGCUGUGAAAGUCUGUGGCUCAACCGUAGAAUUGCAGUUGAUACUGGGGGGCUUGAGUAGGUUUGAGGCAGGCGGAAUGCGUGGUGUAGCGGUGAAAUGCUUAGAUAUCACGAAGAACCCCGAUUGCGAAGGCAGCUUGCUAAGCCACGACUGACGUUGAUGCACGAAAGUGUGGGGAUCAAACAGGAUUAGAUACCCGUGUAGUC
rnacentral:rRNA from 1 species